rnacentral:rRNA from 1 species
UACGUAGGCAGCAAGCGUUGUUCGGAGUUACUGGGCGUAAAGGGUGCGUAGGCGGCCCUGUAAGUAUGGUGUGAAAUCUCCCGGCUUAACUGGGAGGGUGCGCUAUAGACUGCGGGGCUCGAGUGUGGGGAGAGGAAAGUGGAAUUCCUGGUGUAGCGGUGAAAUGCGUAGAUAUCAGGAGGAACACCGGUGGUGUAAACGGCUUUCUGGACCAUAACUGACGCUGAGGCACGAAAGCGUGGGUAGCAAACAGG